AUGGUGGUGGGGGGUGGAGUGUUUGGAGGAGUAGGGGUGGUUGGCUGGGCUGAUGGAUUCGGAAACAAGCUGAAUUGCCCAAGCCCCUGCCAUUCUGUGGACACAACUGCCUGCAGUUUACUUCCUCCUGCAAAGUGAAACUAUGCUACAGAAAUUCCCCUGAGAAGGAAGAUGGGCCAAAGGCCACAAAUGAAGCCACAUUCCUCUCCAGAAGGAACUUCUGCCCCUACCUCAGCCCCUUAAGAGGAGAAACACCUCUACCCUGCAAUUUUCAGAGUCUGGUCUGGGCUACUGAGAGGGUUCCCCACUGGCAGCUGCUGGAGGGUGUGUGUUAAGUGGUGCCCUCUGGUGGCCGAUGGCGGUCUUCACACUGGUGAGAGCAGGUUUUUAAGCAUUUCUUUCUUCCAGAUGCAAAAGAUCAUCCCUGGACUCAAGUGCCUUAAUCCUUAAUCCCCCUGAUGGGUACUCCACCCCCGCUGGGGGCCAUCAUCUUGAAACAGCAAAGGCCAACCCCUUCCUUUGAAUUAGCCAAUCAAGAAAGACUGUGCACCUGAGCUCCAAUCAAGAGCAAGGGAUAGGUCACGUGCAUUGGGGAUUAUAAAGCCAAGCAGACCCCUGCUCAUGUGUGAGGACUUCCAGACCAUGUGUGCGCACCCUUCUGUGUCGAAGUAAAGAUGUGUGCCUUGC